UACGGGAGGCAGCAGUUAGGAAUAUUCGUCAAUGGGGGAAACCCUGAACGAGCAAUGCCGCGUGAGUGAUGAAGGUCUUUGGAUUGUAAAACUCUGUUGUAUGGAAAAAACGACUAGGUUAGGAAAUGAACUUAGUGUGAUGGUACCAUACCAGAAAGCCCCGGCUAACUACGUGCCAGCAGCCGCGGUAAU
rnacentral:rRNA from 1 species